CUUGAUCGAACCCAGCCACAGCGGUUCCGACCGGUCCUGCCCGUAGGUCGCCAGCAGCGCCUGCGCCUC
rnacentral:antisense_RNA from 1 species